CAUCUAUCCAUCCAUACAUCAGUUCACUCGACACUUGCAUGAGUUGUAUUUAAGGCUGUAGCACAGAAUCUGCUAUGAUGAUACCCUGGAGAUCUUUCUAUUUAUCAUUAUUGUUUACCACAGGCUGAAAAAUGACAAAUCAUUGGCCACCAAGGAGGAUCAGCUGGAGAAGCAGACAGAAAGGACUGGCCCCUCUCUAUUUCUUGAUGCCUCCCCAUUGCUAGUGUUGAAGAAUUUGGUAUUAACUAGCCCUUUUCCUUUCAAAUGUGAAUUUGUUUGUAUAAUGGUGGGGUCACAUUUAUACAUCCAUAUUGCCAGGGAUCCAAAAGUAAACACUUUGUAUUCAAGGGCAGAUAUUCCAGGACAAGGAGAGAAAUUUCAGCCAGCAUAUUUGACAGUGCUUGAGCCUGACAUCUUGAAGAUAUAACAAAAUUCAUAGAGUGGAUUCUUUCAAGGGGAAAGUGGACAAGGACCAGUAAAACAAGGAGCAUCCCAGUCAAUCUCCAUGCUCAUCAGAUGAACUGGGAUAAAUUCUGAGUCCAGUACCAAAUUUCUGAGUCAUAACUGUCUGGAUCCUUGAUCAGAUGUGAGGCCUGAUGUGAGGACAGAAGCUUCCGACUUAGUCAAAGUAAUUUGGAGUGAGAACAAAACUGAAUCACCUCGAGAAUCUUCCUUCUCACAAUAUUUGGUGAUUGGAGUGGAGGAGGGAAGUUGGCUGCCAUAUUAAGAGGAGGAAGAAACUAAUAUUAAAGAUGCGGCAUGGGGCUUCCCUGGUGGUCAGUGGUAAGGGUGGCUCACCCCUCCCCUCCCACACUGUACUGGAGUUGAUCCACGUGACCAGUAGAAUGCAGAGUGAUGGUAUGGGGCUUCUGUGGCUAGGUCAUAAAGGCAUGUGGCUUCCACCUCUCUCUUAGAUCAUUCAGUCUGGGGGAGUCAGCCCUGUUGAGAGAGCUGAGGCAAGGAACUAAGCCCUCCUGCCAACAGGCCUGUGAGUGAGUGGAGUCGUCCUAGGAGCAGACCGUCCCGCCCCAGUCAAGCCUUGAGACCUUGUGAAGCAGCUUCAAGGACUUGGCAGAGAUGAGGUGAAGCUAACAGCAUUCUAAAGUAAUGGCAAAGAAACAACUAAAAAAAGGGACAGUGUUUCUAGUUGAAAUUGGAAAGCUGAUGACAAAUAACAAGACCUCUGCUGGGACAAAGGAUUGUUGGUAUCAUAUGUGGAGCUAUGACAUAUACACCAUGGGGAAAUAGCUGAAGCCAUCAAAGUGUGGACACCGCUGGCUGGAGGAUUUUAUCAGCCACCUUGGCAGCCCAGGUGUGGUCAUCACCUACCUGUGUUCUUGAGUCUAUCUCAGAAGGAGAAAGACAGCCAGGAGUGAUUCUUCUGCCAGUUCUGGAAUGGACUCGACCUAGGUUCUGUUGGGCAUAACUAGCAAUUGAACUUUUCUUCCCCAGUUACCCAUGCAGUGGGAAGUAAAACGGCAUAGUUUUCUCUGAGGUCAUUUUUUGAAUUAAUAAAUCAGAUUGAUUCAGAGCGUU